rnacentral:rRNA from 1 species
GACGUGCGGGUCUUACCAUGCAGCGAACGAUGAAGCCGCUUCGGUGGUGGAUUAGUGGCGAACGGGUGAGUAACACGUGGGCAAUCUGCCCUGACUCUGGGACAAGCCUGGAAACGGGUCUAAUACCGGAUAUGACACGGGAUCGCAUGGUCUCCGUGUGGAAGCUCCGGCGGUGCAGGAUGAGCCCGCGGCCUAUCAGCUUGUUGGUGGGGUGAUGGCCUCCAAGGCGACGACGGGUAGCCGGCCUGAGGGGCGACCGGCCACACUGGGACUGAGACACGGCCAGACUCCUACGGGAGGCAGCAGUGGGAAUAUUGCACAAUGGGCGCAAGCCUGAUGCAGCGAGCCGCGUGAGGGAUGACGGCCUUCGGGUUGUAAACCUCUUCAGGAGGGAAGAAGCGCGAGUGACGGUACCUGCAGAGAAGCACCGCUAACUACGUGCCAGCAGCCGCGGUAUACGUAGGGUGCGAGCGUUGUCCGGAAUUAUGGGCGUAAAGAGCUCGUAGGCGCUUGUCGCGUCGGAUGUGAAGCCCGGGGCUUAACCCCGGGUCUGCAUUCGAUACGGCAGGCUAGAGUUCGGCAGGGGAGAUUGGAAUCCUGGUGUAGCGGUGAAAUGCGCAGUAUCAGGAGGAACACCGGUGGCGAAGCGGAUCUCUGUGCCGAUACUGACGCUGAGGAGCGAAAGCGUGGGGAGCGACAGGAUUAGAUACCCUGGUAGUCACGCCGUAAACGUUGGGCACUAGGUGUGGGCGCAUUCCACGUCGUCCGUGCCGCAGCUACGCAUUAAGUGCCCCGCCUGGGGAGUACGGCCGCAAGGCUAAAACUCAAAGAAUUGACGGCGGCCGCACAAGCGGCGGAGCAUGUGGCUAAUUUCGACGCAACGCGAAGAACCUUACCAGGCUUGACAUACACCGGGAAGCCGUAGAGAUACGGGCCCCCUUGUGGUCGGUGUACAGGUGUGCAUGGCUGUCGUCAGCUCGUGUGGUAGAUGUUGGGUUAGUCCCGCACGAGCGCAACCCUUUGUCCUGUGUGCAGCACUCCUUUCAGGAAGUUGGGGACUCCACGGGGGGACUGCCGGGGUCCACUCGGAGAGGGUGGGACGAGUCAAGUCAAGCAUGUGCCCUGUGCUCUUUGA